CCACGUUUUAUAACGUUAGAGGUACUUUUUGAAGAAAAAAAAUAAUUUAAAGUGUAAGUGAUAUUUUGGAUAAAAGUCAAGGGUAUUUUUGGACCUUUGCCCAUUGAAUAAUUGUUGAGCACCAUUCCAUUCUUGGUUCUCUGCUCUCUUCCUCUUUCUUUCCAAAGAUUAUCCCAAACCCAUUUCAUGCUUAGUUCUUCCUAUUUCAACCUAAAAUCGCAAGAAUACAUCAAUUUUUGUUACAAAUCUCACCAAAUCUAUUAAGAGCUGAAGCUAUAAAUUGAAUUUGAAGGAGAAGUAAAGCAAAACACGGACCAAGAAGAAUUCAAUUCCUACAUAAAUAAGCUUGAAGCAAGAAUUCAACUAAUAUAUCAAACAAUAAAGGUAAGUCACCUUGCUAAAUUUAUGAAAAUUGAAGUAGAUAAUAUCUGUUAUUGCUGUGAUUAGUUGUGGGAGUUUGGAUUACGGAACCAUAAAGGUUUCAAAAGAUAUAAGGAAGAAUAUAUAAGGAGAUGGCAUGUUAAUGUGUUUAGAUUUUAUGAAAACUAAGCUUUUGAAACUGUGCAUGCUAUGUGUUUGCUAAAAUACCUCAAUGAGGUUAUUUUGCUAAAAUAUGAGAAAUUACUUGGUUUCUCUGCAAAUUGUUGAGGAUAUGUGAGUUAUAUAUUAACUCAAGUAGUAUGGAUAAUUGAAAUUAAGUUCAAAAUGGUUUUGAAGAAUUUCUUACAAACUAGUGAAAACUAAAAUUUUUGUUAAACGUAGAUUUUCGAGCUCUUCCUUUUAUACCAUAAAAAUGUUUAUAAAGACCCAACCUUGGUGUAAUUGGUACCAUGUAGUGUGGCCUAGAAGUGAACAAGUUUUAAGUUCUUUGAACUUGCGAUGUGGAAGAUAUGAUUGAGAAGGUAGCAUGAGAAGCAAAAGAAAUUUGCAAAAACAGAACCCUCGCCUAUCUUAUGCCCAAUUUGGACUGGUUCAGCCUUGCCCUGAUCUCUAUUCUCUAAGUUCACCAUUUAGGUAACCUUUGAUAUCUAAAGGAUAGCUUACAGGUUCUACACACGGAAGGAGGGAGGGGAAAGUAUGAACCACAUGUCACUUCAAUAUGGUUUUGGUCGGUGAUUGUGGAGAUUACUUUGGUUUAUUUUUAUAAAUCCAAUUUUGUUAGAGUUGUACUUCUUGGGAAAUGGUUAUAGGGUAAGGGAAGUAGGAAACACUGGGAGGCAGUAAUGGUGGGUUGUGCUCCUACGAGUUCUGGAAAUAAUCCAAUUGGAAUGAAUCAAAAAGGAGCUAAAACGAAUUUAUAGUGAAGGCUUUAGUAAAACAUGUUAGAAACCGAAAAAUUGUGAACUGCUGACCCUAAGGACAAAUUCGGGGAUAGCUAGAGUUUCCAGAAAACUCUGGCAUUUUGGGGUAUUAUAGUACAUUGAAUAAGCUUUCCAUAGACUCCGGAACGGACUAAUUCUGACUUCGGAGCAAAGAGUUAUGACCAUUCAAAGUAGUCGCGUCAUAACUGUUCAACCAAUUCUGACCAGUCCCCUUUGCACGAAAUUCUGGAAUUUUGUGUUAAGAAUUUGAAAAUGGUCAAAAAAUAAAAGUUAUAGCCCCAGAAGUUAGCUUCGCGUGGGCUCAAGAAUCGCUCAAAAAUGUUUUGAAACGAAAAAGUAAUGACUGUUUUAGCGAGAGAAGGUACAACUGGGAAGAAAUUGAAACUGUUAUGAACGUCUAAUUUUGACGCAUUGUUUGGGUUACCUAAUGAACCCGAAUUGGGUGACUCGUAUUUUUUAAAAAUAGUCUUACAUACCAUGUAUAACAUAUUCGAAAAUGGGAGUGAUGCGGCAUGCGAGCUAAAAAUGGAAAAAAUUGCAAAAUAACCGUGUCGCGAAGGGAGCUGCUGCCCACAGCAGCAGCGCACAGUAGCAAUUGGCAGCGAGCAGCUGCAAUAGCAGCGUUAGCAGCCUAUUUUUGGCUUUGUGGUGUAAAUUGAUAAUUUACCCAUAAAGCAUAGUUUUUAAUUUCCUAAAUAAACAAGUACAAGAGUUAUAAAAAAUAUAAAUGAAUGAAUACUUAAAAAGAUAAAAGUUAGCAAAGGUGAGCGUCCAAAAAUUGGGAGGCUACGCUAAGCCCGGCUGAGCUCCACAUGGCCAAGCAAGGCUUGGCUGCCGACAUAGCUUGACAAUAAGGGACUGUUUUGGCAUUGUAUAGUAACGCGAUAGUAUUUAAACCGUAAAUUCAUGGAAAUGAAAUUAUAAAUUAUUACGGAAGUUGUAAUUUAUCUAUACAAGUGAUAAUUAUAUUUGGUGCAUGAAAUGAGCUAUAAUAUUACUAAAAAUGACAUUAAUAAAAAGAGAGACAAAAUAGAAAAGGGGCAAAAUAGACAUUACAUUUGGUCAAACUAACUUAUUUUGAAAUGACUUAUAAGCCAUUAUAAAAUAAAUUACAAAUAUUUGCUUAAUUUUUUGACUUAAAAAUCAAGUAUAAAAAUAAGUCAUUGACAAAGAGAAUGAUAUAUAGUGACAAAUGACUUAUAAGUUGGUAGACUCCAAGUGUCGGUUGGUGGAACCCACUAUUAAUGUAAUAAUGACACAUCAUUUGAGACACAAUUAUUUUAUUUAAAAUUAAACUAAGGGUGUUGAGUUUUUUUUAUAAAGAAAAAAAUGUUGACUUUUCCAAAAGUUUUUGACAAAAUACGUAACCAAAAUUUAAGAAAUUAAAUAUGGAUAGUAAUGAAAUCGUAAGUAGUACUCCCUCCGUCUCAGGAAUGAAAAAACAAAAUUAUUCAUAAUAAUACGUCAUUAAUUAUUUUCAAUGUAGGUGAGAAAGUGACUUUUUAGCUUUUCAAUUCAAAAUAUUUUUAGCACAUAAGUAAUUAUACUUAUUAAAUAUGGAGAGAGAAUUAGAAUAAGAAAAGUAUGAGAUAUUUAAUGCUACGUGUAUAAUAGAAAAAAAUGUGAAAAAGUUUGGUUAUUAAAAGAAAGUGGACAUUUAACAUAGAACUAUCCAAAAUAGUAAUAAGGACUUUUAUCAUGGGAUGAAGGGAGUAUUAAAUUUUGUUUAUCUUCGUUCCCACUGAAAUGAUGGAGUUUUUUAAUUUGAUUUUGUAAGUUAAUUGAGAAGUAACGAGACAAAUAAAAUUACAUGCCAAAUAUGAGUUGGGAAGUUUUUUUUAACACCUUUUGUUAAAGUUUUUUUUAAAAAAAAAAAAAAAUCAUCGAUGAUUAUUUUAACUAAUCAACCACCCAUUUUAACUAAUCAAGAACAUGAAAUGGAUACCCAUUUUAACUAAUCAAGACUGUAACUUAAUUAAUUACUUGCAUGGUAUUUUUUCUUUUAAUUUGGUAAUUAAUUUAGGAAUGAUUAUGAAUUGUGUUAGUACGUACCUUUAAUUAGUUGCCAGUGAAAAUACCGCGCUACUGGAUACUCCUAUUGAAGAAAUAAAGAAGAAGAAGAAGAGUAUGAAAAAUGAUGAAAACAGGUAGGAGAAGAUAUAAUAAAUGAAGCACGUUUAACAUUAUAAUUAUAAUAAUUUAUGGCAAUCGAAGCACGUUUUUAUAAUUAAAGUUAAAUAGUUUGGAGUCAUUGAAAUGAUGAAAUAUGCAGGGAAAAAUAAUAAAUACAAGGAUAGCCAA
rnacentral:lncRNA from 1 species